AUGUUUAGAGGUUUUGCUGACUUGAUGGAUGGCCGUGAUAGAAGCCGAGCUAUGUACACUCGGCCUGAACCAAAUCCCAACUUCAACUCUCCUCUUCCCAUUCAACCACCAGCAGGUUGCUUUCUCAAUGGAGACAAUCAAAAGCUACUUGGUGUUACCAAUAACACCAACAUCAAGUUAAAGGGUGAUGGUAAUGGAGCAUUUACGCUUGGUGACUUCAAAUAA